UUGGAGGGAAGUCUGGUGCCUGCAGCCGCGGUAAUUCCAGCUCCAAUAGCGUAUAUUAAAGUUGUUGUGGUUAAAAAGCUCGUAGUUGAACCUUGGGCCUGGCUGGCCGGUCCGCCUCACCGCGUGCACUGGUCCGGCCGGGCCUUCCCCUCUGCGGAACCCCAUGCCCUUCACUGGGUGUGGCGGGGAAACAGGACUUUUACUUUGAAAAAAUUAGAGUGCUCAAGGCAGGCCUAUGCUCGAAUACAUUAGCAUGGAAUAAUAGAAUAGGACGUGUGG
rnacentral:rRNA from 1 species